rnacentral:rRNA from 1 species
GACGAACGCUGGCGGCGUGCCUAACACAUGCAAGUCGAGCGCGUUUCAGAGGUCGGUCAUCAGAGGUCAGAAGUCGGAGGGGAAGGUUAAAUUAAUAAAACCUUUUAAUCCUUAUUAGCAUUUCUGACAUCUGACUUCCGACGACCGACUUCUGAGAUGAGCGGCGAACGGGUGAGUAACGCGUGGGUGACCUGCCCGGGAGACCGGGAUAACAGUUCGAAAGGGCUGCUAAUACCGGAUGAUCCCGGCACUUGGUUGAGUGCUGGGCAAAGCGCUUUAGCGCUCUCGGAUGGGCCCGCGUCCCAUUAGCUAGUUGGUAGGGUAAUGGCCUACCAAGGCGACGAUGGGUAGCCGGUCUGAGAGGAUGGUCGGCCACACUGGGACUGAGACACGGCCCAGACUCCUACGGGAGGCAGCAGUGGGGAAUUUUGCGCAAUGGGGGAAACCCUGACGCAGCGACGCCGCGUGGGUGAAGAAGGCCUUCGGGUUGUAAAGCCCUGUUGGGGGGGAAGAUAGUGACGGUACCCCCUGAGGAAGCCCCGGCUAACUACGUGCCAGCAGCCGCGGUAAUACGUAGGGGGCGAGCGUUGUCCGGAAUUACUGGGCGUAAAGGGCGUGUAGGCGGCCCUUCAAGUCGGCUGUGAAAGUCCCCGGCUCAACCGGGGGAUUGCAGUCGAAACUGGGGGGCUUGAGUGCAGGAGAGGAGGGUGGAAUUCCCGGUGGAGCGGUGAUAUGCGUAGAUAUCGGGAGGAACACCGGUGGCGAAGGCGACCUUCUGGCCUGUUACUGACGCUGAGGCGCGAAAGCCGGGGGAGCAAACAGGAUUAGAUACCCUGGUAGUCCCGGCCGUAAACGCUGGGUACUAGGUGUAGGGGGCUUUGAUGCCUUCUGUGCCGUAGUUAACGCAUUAAGUACCCCGCCUGGGGAGUACGAUCGCAAGGUUGAAACUCAAAGGAAUUGACGGGGGCCCGCACAAGCGGUGGAGCAUGUGGUUUAAUUCGAUGCAACGCGAAGAACCUUACCAGGGCUUGACAUCUGCCUGACAGCCUGUGGAAACAUGGGCUUUCCUUCGGGACAGGCGGACAGGUGGUGCAUGGCUGUCGUCAGCUCGUGUCGUGAGAUGUUGGGUUAAGUCCCGCAACGAGCGCAACCCCUAUCCUUAGUUGCCAGCGCGUCAUGGCGGGCACUCUAAGGAGACUGCCGGUGACAAACCGGAGGAAGGUGGGGACGACGUCAAGUCCUCAUGCCCUUUAUGUCCUGGGCUACACACGUGCUACAAUGGCCUGUACAGCGGGUUGCGAAGUCGCGAGGCGGAGCCAAUCCCUUAAAGCAGGUCUCAGUUCGGAUUGCAGGCUGCAACUCGCCUGCAUGAAGCCGGAAUCGCUAGUAAUCGCGAAUCAGCACGUCGCGGUGAAUACGUUCCCGGGCCUUGUACACACCGCCCGUCACACCACGAGAGCCGGCAACACCCGAAGCCGGUGGGCCAACCCUUCAGGAGGCAAGAGGCCGGAAGCAAGAAGCAAGAAAAUGCAGGGUUGAGCAUGUGAAAAUGCAUAUCCGAUCAGAUUGUAAGCUGUAUCUUGUCUCUUGCAUCUUGUUUCUUGCCUCUUGAAGGGAGGCAGCCGUCGAAGGUGGGGUUGGUGAUUGGGGUG